ACUAUUUUGGCAGAUGAAGUGCAAUAGAUUUAGAAUCUAUUAAUAUGUUUAAAAUCAUAUAUAGUA
rnacentral:tRNA from 1 species